rnacentral:rRNA from 1 species
UACGUAGGGUGCAAGCGUUAAUCGGAAUUACUGGGCGUAAAGCGUGCGCAGGCGGUUGUGCAAGACAGAUGUGAAAUCCCCGGGCUCAACCUGGGAAUUGCAUUUGUGACUGCACGGCUAGAGUGUGUCAGAGGGGGUAGAAUUCCACGUGUAGCAGUGAAAUGCGUAGAGAUCGGGAGGAACAUCAGUGGCGAAGGCGGCCAUCUGGGACACACUGACGCUGAGGCGCGACGGCGUGGGAG